AUAGUAUAAUCAGUUUCAUUAAUAAUGUAGAAUAAUGAGACUCACAACAUAUGUGGAUAAACAUAGAAGAUUUAAAAAUUAAAUGUAUGCCCAUCAACUUCUAAUUGUUCUCUACAUUUACUUAUAAUUUCUUUGAUAGAUUUCCAUUAACAGGGCACAAAAGAGAACUGUUUUUCAUUCCUUUUAUGCCCACCCACACCAUGCUAGAGUCAUUUACAAAGUGUAUCCCCCUCACAGCUGCUCUAGCACUGCCACUGGGUUUUCUCUGAAGCUUUAUCUGUACUCAGUUAUAUGGAGUUUGGGUGUCUUUCCCCAAAUAGAAAAUGCUCUAGUUUUUUUUUCUAACUUCUUACUAGAUUAUAACAUUCAUACUGAAAAUUACAUAAAUUCUAAGUGUUAGCUUGAUAAAUUUUUGAAAAUUAAAUAUACCCAUGUUAAACAGGAGCUACAUAAAUAAAUUAAUUAAUUAAUUAAAAAGAAUGUUGCCAUAUUGUACACAAUGUAUUUAUGCCUUCUACUGUUGAUGAGCAUUUGAUGGUAUUUUGUUUUAGUUUAUUAUAAACUGUGCUUUUAAAAACAUGCUAGUACAAGCAUUUGAUAGACAUGUGAUAUGUAUGUACUUGUCUUGAGUAAACACCUAAGGAGUAAAUCUUCCAGGUAUACAUACAUUGAGCAUUAGCAGAUACUGCAAAGAGUUAUCAGUCCUACCAAUCAUGUAUGAGAGUUUUGAUUUCUCUAAAUCAGUGGAUUUUCAAUUAGGCAUGGUUUUAUAGCACAAGAAAUAUAUGUUAAUGCCUGGAAACUUAUUUCAUCAUCACAGCUGUGGGGAUGUGACUGCCAUCAUGUGGAUAGGGACCAGAGAUGCUGCUCAACAGUCCCUUGCAACAAAGAUUUGGUCUUAAAGGUCAAUAGUACCGAGGCUGAGAAAUUCUACUGCAAGCAUCACUAGCCAUUGGUAAAUUUUUGGUUUUCAUAUUUUAACCAUUCCAGAAGGCACACCAUUACACUUUAUUAUGAUUUUAAUCUGCAUUAUCUGACAACUAAAUAUAAUCAUUUCAAAACCUGAGACUUAGUCCUUAGGUGCCAAUCUAAUUCAGGGUCCUAACGUAACUACUCCAAACUCCCACCUUAAACUAUAUAGCCCUCCUUUUCUCAAUCUUUGACCCUAGAGCAUAGGCCCUGGGACCUAGAUUUGAUUUCAAACUUUUCUACCCAAGCAACUUAUUUAACUUCACUGAACUUCAGUUUCUUUAUCUGCAUUAUAAGGAUAUGAAUGCCCAUAUUCUAGUAUUACUUUUACGAUUAGCUACAAUGUAGGUAAAAAUCCAUGGAACACAGUGGAUGUUUAGUAGAUAUUAUUACAUUGGGCGGGAAGAAUAAGAGUGCAAAGAAAUUAGAUUAGAAAGAGCACCGGAUUCAGAGUUAAGGCUUGUGUUCUAGUCCUGACUCUGUCCUGACUCUGUAGUCAUGAGAACUUGGUCAAAACAUUUCAUGUCUUAAAGUUUUCUAUUUAUUCAUCUAUGAAAUAAGAGAGUUGCACUACAUGCCAGGUUUUUUCAAUCUGAUUAUUUUAUAAUUCUGUAAAUAUGACAAAGUCUCAGUUAUCAACGAAUUCAUACUAGAGGAAGAUACGAUAUGCACUAAAUAAUAAAUAAUUAUAUCAUUUUUUGGGGAAGUUAUCUUGUGGCUCAGCACGUUAAGGAUUGGUUAUUGUCACUGUGGCAGUUUGGGAUGCUGCUAUGGCAUGGGUUCAAUCCUCGGUCUGGGAACUUUCCUAUGCCACAAGCGUGGCCAAAAAAAUGAUACCAAUUUCUUGCAAAUAUGCUCAGAAAUACAGAGCUACAAGAAAAAAAGUAUUACCAUCAUUAAAGCCCAAGAGAAGAGAAGCUUAUUUUUGCUGGAAGACUGAAGGAAUGCUUUGCAAAGAGGAGUAUUUGAAUUAGGCCUUGAGGCCUAGAGGAGGACAGAGAGUAAGUUCAGACAGGAGAUGGAGGAUAAAUAUUGAAGCAGAGGAAACAGAGUGGACAUAGGCUCAGGGAGGGAAGCAUAAGACUGUAGCCUAGAACCUGUCUCAGGAAGGAGACAAAGUAAAUGGAAAGUAGGUAUAAAGUGUUUGGAAUGCAUAAGAGUAAAUAUUUCAUUUGUUUGAAAAUGAAGGAUCAUUGCAAAUUAUGGAAUAAAGUAGUGACAUAACCAUGCCAAAGCUCUAAAGACUAAUUUGAUAACUCUAGAAACAAGGAACUGUGACAGGGAGGGGUGGAGAUUAGAGGUUUAAUAUGGAAAAUAUCAUACCAUUUUAGAGAGGGGGAAGAGGUUUUGAUAUAAAAAGUCAAAAAGGAAAGUGGAGAGAAAUAUGUAAUUUUGUAAGGACGUAACUGAAAGGACUUGAUAUUUGUUUUGUUAUGGAAAACAAGAAGUAGAGCGGUAUCAAAAAUAAUUGAGAUUUCAAGUCCAAGUGACAAGAGGAGUAAAAGGACAGGGGAAUAUUUUAUGCCUUCCUUAACAGCUAUCAACAAAGCACUAGGCUUAGACCAUUCAUCUAAGAAAUAUUUCUCAAACAACAGUUUACUGGCGAUUUUAAUAUCUUUGUAGAUAUUUAACACAAAGAGGGUUCCACUGUCAGCUUAGGAAACACUAUCAUAUCAUCCUCUUAAUAUUUACAUUUUACAUAAACCUAAUAAGGUUAUAGGAAAUAGUGUAGUAAAAUGUGUGUGUAUAUGUGUACAUAAAACAACUAAAUCUCAUGGGACUCUAGUACUGCAAGAGACUAAGUUUGGAGAGACAUACACAAUAUGCUCCUGAACUUACUAUAGACUAAGCGUGUGUUAUAAUAAAUCUCUUUGGUAUAGAUUAAUAUCAGGUAUCAGGAGGCCAUUCAGAUGUCACUCAGGAUAUAGCUGAGAUCUACAAAUGUAAAUUUAUGAAGCACUUAGCAGAGAAGAUAGUUUAGAUUAUGAAAGUAUAUAGAUUUGCAAGGGAAUGGAAAAGUAAAUGAUAGGAUAUGGAAGCAACAGACAGCCUAUAUUUUAAAGAAUAAUGAGUGGAAGAAAGAGAUACUGAACUGUAACUUCAUGGAGUAGAAAACCUAAGGGAAAAGAAUGAGCAUCUUCAAGUUAGUCAAUAAGUUACGUAUAUGUCACCUAAGCAUUCUAGUCUAAGUUAAGUCUUAAACAUGGAAUUUCAGACCUUUCCCUUAAUAUCUCAAUCUUUUAAGGCAAAAUCCAUAACUGAUACUCCAAGUCGAAGUCCUAAGGCCACUGUCUCUUCAGAUUUAGACUCAUAGCUCUAAGGUGGCCUUAAUUGUUCUCAUGUUUAGACUUGGAGGUAGAACAUCUCAGGAUAACACACUAAUGGGCAUAACCAUUAGUUUUCUGAGUAUGUAAUAAACUCUUCUCACACAGGAAACUAAGCAUUACGGGGUCUGGCAGGAGAGGAAGAAAGAAACAAGCAGAGAAUGGGAAGGAGCAACAACUGUACUUUUUUUUGACAUUGAAAAGAGAAACAACUUAAGAAAUGAGAUAUAAACUAGGGUCCUCAACCAGUGGCAGCACUGACAUAGCCUCCAUUAAAUGGGUAAGUGAGGCUCAAUAUCCAACUGGGCUAAUAAGAGAGAGGGGAACAAAGUCUUGGUAGGUAAAAAGAAAGAUUAAGCAAAAUAAAUUUUCUUUAUUAUACACACUGAUCAAAAUUAUUCACCUUUAGCAAUACAACUUCUGUAUGAGUUUGUCUAAAAGCUGGUAUACAGAAUUAAUAAGAAUUUUUAUAGAAGGUUUAGGUCAAUGGUUAUUUAGUAACAAUAGCUAGUUAGCUCCUGGGAAUGUCGUCAUAAAGUGCUUUCCAUUGUUUAAAUAAAGAAAUAUUGAGAAAUAAAAGAUCUAUUCUAGAAAUACAAUGUCUUUUUAAUAAAUUGUGUCUUUAUCACUCUGUACCACAAAAAUAAAUAUCCUUUACUACAAUUUUAUAAAUAUUUGAUUCUUAAGACAGAGAAAAGAGCUUUAUAAAGUAUUGUAUUGUUUGCCUAAUAGAAUGUGGGAUUUAUUUUCCCUCCAGAAAAUAGAUUCUUAGUAGGAUAUUUUAGAAAAAAAAUUACAAUAAAGUAAAAUAUUUUAAAAUAACAAAACAUGGAAUUUUUAUGGCACUCAAGAAUGAUCUUAAAUACAUUAAAAUAAAAUGCCAUCAAAACAUUAGACUGUUUACAGAAAGUAAAGCCUAAAAGAGAUUAAUAAGGUGGCUACUGUCAAAUUAUAUUUUAAUCAUUUCUAUUAAUGAAAUCAUAAUGAAGUCACAGUGAAAUAUAGUUGUGGUCUUACACAAUCUAGAAGCCACAUCCUUCAGGAUCUGCGAGAGUCUCUGUUACUUAGUGAAAUGCAGUUUAUAAUGGUAGAAACAAAUCUCUUCUGUUUAGAAAUACGUUCAAAGUAACUGAGUGAACUUUAUCUUUCUAUUUCCUCCUCUUUCUUUACUUCUUCUAUAGGCAGUAUUCUAUAUCCUAAAAUUCAUAGUGAGGGCCUCAUGUGUGACAUGUCAAGCCUCUGUCUGUACAGUCAUCACAGUAAAUUAUGUGGCUCAAACAACACAUGGUAAUUUACUUUGUUUUUUUUGUUUGUUUUGUUUCUUCACUGUUAGAGAAGAAAAUGCUCAUGUAUAACAUAUAUUUUAAAUAAUUUUGAGUAGCUAAAUUUUUUUUAAUGAUUCAAGUGAUUUCGUUGCCAAGUGAGAAUGGGUUAUACCUUGAGGAACAAUUGUAUAGCUGGCCUGACAUAUACAGUAAGGUCUCCUAACAUUAUUUGCUAUAAAGAUACAAUCUGUAAUGGAAGCCACACUUAAUUGCUUGUUCUUAACAUCAGUACUCUGACUUGCUGUGACCACUUGAGUUUCAAUUUCUUUCUUCACCUAUGAAAUAGGGAUUUAUAGUUUUCCUUCUAUUUCAUAAGGAUACUGUGUGAGCGAAUAGUAUAACAAAUGUAAAAACAAUUUUUUAAACCUUUGAUAUUGGAUUCUACACAAGCAUAAAACCAUCACUAAUCAAACUGAUGUUAUUUGUAGAUUUUGAAUAGUCUUCAGUUCAUCAAGCGUGAAUUCAAGGGCAGUGCUUUUUUAAAAAGCACAAGAGCUGGGUAAAACGCUGCCAAACUUGUGUGUACAGUGAUACCUGGGUGUGAUAAUCCACACAUAACUCCCAUCUGUUAUUUCUUAAUUUGCCCUCAGCUGUUUCAAUAAUGUGACAUUGUUCAUCAUUUCUCAAAUCUUUUCAAAAUAUUUCUUUUCCUUUUUUUACAAUUCACACCAUCCCAGUUAUGUAAUAGAACAUUAACUAUUCUCUUAACUAGGCAACUUUUUUUGCCUAUGCCUCUCGAAAAGUAGAUAAAAAUGUUAACUUUGGAGAAAUGUCCGGGGGUCAGACUAUAUUCUAGAAAAUAUAAAUAAGAAAGGAAAUAAUUAAAGCAGGAAAAAAUACUAGCUAAAACAAUUUCAGAAAAAUAAAAAGCCAAUUGGGGGAAAAUUCAGGGGAACAAAAAUUUGUACCUUGAAACAUUAUUUUCUGAAAAUACUAAUAAGCAUCAAACGGAAAUAAAAUAUAUUUGGGGGCAUACUGGAGUUAAUAAACUUGUUUUACUGCAAAAAUUCUAAUAUUCCUUGUAAUAUCUAAGAGGACUAUGAGUGUCACAGGCAGUAUUUCCCAAACUUAACUGAUGCUUUUGUUCAGAGUAUUGCAGUGGAAUAGUGUUCUAUGAUGAAAUAUCAUUUUGGAUAUACUGAGCCCAGGAGCUUGGUUCAUCAGGUUGUCAAUUUUAACAACAGAUCAGAUGGAUGGCAGUACAUACUCACAAAAUAAAUGCAGUAUAGCCCAGGACUCACUGGCUCCAACCAACCUUUCAGCCAUACAUCUUUCCACAUGCAGAAGCUCAGCUCUCUGCUGGCCAUUCAGGAAUUCUCCCUUUCAGCAAAACUCUCCCAAACACUUCAAGCACUUCUGUAUUCUCAUGCCUUUGCUUAUGCUAUGCCAUCUUCUUGAUAUCCUUUCUUUCUUUUACCUGCCUGUCAAAAGCCUAAUCGUCCUUUAAUAUUCAUCUUCAAACAGACCUCCCUCUUCCGUGUGCUUCUCUCUAAGGUAGUAGUUCUCAAACUUGGCUAUACUUAAAAAAUACCUAGAGAGUUUUAAAAAACACAGAUUCCUGAGUCUCAACAAUCAAUUUUGAUAUCAUAGGCCUACCCAAGUGUCAGGAUUUUUAAUUACCCCGUGAUUGUAAGACACAGCCAAUGCUGAGAACCAUUGCUUUGGAGUCCACGGUAAUUUGUCUCUGUACGUAGACCUACAUCCUAAAAAAAGGGCUUAAGAUUUUUUAGAAGAGAAACUUAGCCCUCUUCAUAUUCAUUGGUCCUCUGUACCAACAGAUAGAUAUUUAGAUGCAAAUUAUUCCAUUG
rnacentral:lncRNA from 1 species